AUGGAGAAGACUUAUACAACACCAUCUAUGGGGGAGAUUGUUCCUCCAACUCCUGCUGGGGAUGGCAUUUCUGCCUCUACUGGUGAAAGAGCAGCAGAAUCAGCUUCUAGAGAACUGUUGUAUAUGGACGAGACGUAUAAACCACCAUCAAUGGCAGACCUACCAGGAUCCCCAGGUGCUGUUGGAGGCAUUUCACCAGCAGUGUCUGCUGGAUGUUCACAAAGUGACAUGGCAGAAAAAGCUCCCUCAGAAACAGCAGUAGGCAGACGCACAUCUUCCAGAGUACCUCCUAAAGUUCCUCCACAAACAUCCUGGAGCUCAGCUACAGGCUUGGCAUCUAAGUCCAGUUUGGCCAGGGUUCCCUCUGUGUCUCUCAGUGAUGGUGCAAAAGAACCAGCUCAGAUAGACAAAACACUGUCAAUGGAGGAGCUACUGGCAUCUCCAUUGUCUUCUCAGUGGGCAAUGUCACCAGCCGGUUCUGAAAGAGUGUCCUCAGUCAGGAUACCCAGUAGAGAGGAGAGUGUGGGGAGAACAGCAGAGACACCAGAGAGGUGCACAUCUCCUGGAGCUUCUCCAAGAGUUUCUCCACAAACCUCUCUUGUCUCAGCUCAUGUUGUUAAAUCUCUGUCUGGUACAGAUAUUUCUCAACAAUCCAGUCUGCCUAGGAUUCCCUCUGCACCAUCAAUAGACAGAUACACAUCUCCCAGAGUUUCUCAAAGAGUUUCUCCACAAUCCAGUCUGGCCAGGAUUCCCUCUGCACCAUCAAUGGAGGAGCUACUGGUGUCUCCAUCUGCUUCUGUUGGUAGAAUUUCUACAGCAGUUUCAAGACGAUCUUUAAGAAGUAGUUUGUCAGAAAGAGCUCCUUCUGAAACAGUCAUAAGAUAUUCUGAAAGCGUUUUAUCAGGAAGAGCUCUCUCUAAAACAGAACUAGUCGAUGCAGCCCAGAGAGGGUCCCCAGUCAGGAUACCCAGUAGACAGGAGAGUGUGGGGAGAACAGCAGAGACACCAGAGAGACACACAUCUCCCAGAGUAUCACCAAGAGUUUCUCCAAGAGUUUCUCCACAAACCUCUCGUACAUUGGCUCAUGUUGGUGAAUCUCUGUCUGGUACAGAUAUUUCUCAACAAUCCAGUCUGCCUAGGAUUCCCUCUGCACCAUCAAUGGACAGAUACACAUCUCCCAAAGUUUCUCAAAGAGUUUCUCCACAAUCCAGUCUGGCCAGGCUUCCCUCUACACCAUCAAUGAAGGAGCUACUGUUGUCUCCAUCUGCUUCUGUUGGUAUAAUUUCACCAGCAGUUUCAAGAAAACCUUCAGAAACAGCUCCUUCUGAAACAGUCAUACGAUAUUUUGAAAGUGAUUUAUCAGGAAGAGCUUUCUCUGAAACAGAGCUAGUUGAUGCUGCACUGAGAGUGUCCUCAGUCAGGAUACCCAGUAGAGAGGAGAGUGUGGGGAGAACAGCAGAGACACCAGAGAGACACACAUCUCCCAGAGUAUCACCAAGAGCUUCUCCAAGAGUUUCUCCACAAACAUCUCUUCUAUCAGCUCAAGUUGGUGAAUCUCUGUCUGGUACAGACAUUGCACCACAAUCCAGUCUGCCCGGGAUUCCAUAUGCAUCAUCAAUAGAGGAGCUACUGAUGUCUCUAACUGCUUCUGUUGAAAGAAUUUCACCUGCAGUUUCAAGAUCUUCAAGAAGUAGUUUGUUAGAAAGUGCUUCCUCUGAAAAAGCAACAAUUAAAGCAGUAUACAGAGAAGAGAGUGUGGAGAGAACAGCAGAAACAACAGAGAGUCACACAACUCAACAAGUGUCUUUCAGAGCACCUUUGGCAACAUCUAAGACAAGAGUAUUUUCUGAUGUGGCAAUUUUGUACAGACCAUCCAUUGCUGAAGGCCUUUGUCUUGAGGUCUUGGACAUGGAGUCUGACCAGGUGAAAACACCAAUGAGUGACAUCACUGCACAAGCUCUGUCUCACACUGCAGCAAUGGAAACAGCUCAGGAUACAGUCAGGAUACCCAGUAGAAAGGAGAGUGCAAGGAGAGCAGCAGAAACACAAACAUAUUUUGCAUCAGGCAAGUAUCAAGAGUAA
ensembl:lncRNA